CCGCACCUUUCUGCUGGUGACGGCGGCGGGCCGCCUCCUCGGGGCCGGGCCAUGGGCGGGGACGGUGGCCCGGGGGUUAAAGAGAGGCUCGCACGCAGCCCGGCUGCCAGUGCCCGUGCGGCGGCUUCCCCGCAGCCCAGUGUUAGGGAAGGACGCGCCGCGGGAGCCCGUGGAUGGCGGCCCGGAGCCUUAAGGUUAAGAAUAUUAUGAUUCCUGCUGGAUGAGGUGGUAUAUGCUUUUAAUCUCAGCAUCCAGGAGGCAGAGGCAGGUGGAUCUCUGUGAGUUUGAGGUCAGCCUGGUCUACAGGGUUAGAAGAGCCUCUUGACCAAAGACUGCCCCAGACAGAAAAUCAAACAGGCUCAGGAAAACAGGAAGUGAGAAGGCGGGGCACUGCAUUGAGGACCAGCCCACUAACUGUUGGACUUGC